rnacentral:lncRNA from 1 species
CCACCUGUGAUUCAACCAUCUGAACCUUAUAUCACUCCACCAUUUAUUCCCGCUGUACCUGGACCAGACUCUGACCCUUUAGACCUAAAUCCACUAUAUGCUUCAUCCCCUAGUCUUCAACCAGACGCAGAUUCUGAACUUCAAGCAGAAUCUGAACCUCAACAAACUGAACCUCAACAAUCUGAACCUCAACAAACUGAACCUCAACCUCUAAAUCUCA